UUCUGCUGUGCUGAGUGAGGGUCUGCCAUGUAGAGUAACAGGCAGUUCCGAAUACAUGUUGGAUGAGUUUCACAGACCCUGGACACCCAAAAUUUUGAGUGAGAACACACUGGGAAGAAGCAUUACAGCCCAGACUGCAGGACCAUGGAGGGUCUUUCUAUGGAGGCCAGUGCUUCUGCAGCUCUGCUGAUGGCAUCCUGUCUGCUGGCACUGUCUGAGCCCAGCUGUAAUCAGACCCAGUUUCUGCACUCUAAUGGCAGUUGUGCUGACUGUCCUGUCUGUGGACCUGGGGAGCAGCUAACAGACGUAACACAUAGUUACUGUGUGUGUGUGUGUGUGUGUCCAUCCGUUCAUCCAUCCAUCCUUCCGUCUGUCUGUCUG